CUCGCUGUAAGGGUUGAGUCUGGCAGACCCCAGGGUCUUGCUCUGGGGCUGUUCUGGCUGCCCCAGAACUCAUCAUGUAACCCAACCCAGCCUUGUAACUCAAACACGGCAAUUCUCCUGUUCCAGUCUCCUAAUUUCUGGGAUUAAAGAAACAUUUCCAGAAAGGCCAUCCAUUCUCAAUUAUGCAGCUGAUGGUGCAUGCCUGGGAUACCAGCUACUCGGGAAACUGAACCUGGAAGACUACAUGAUCAAGGAAUGCCCGGGCUAUGGUGUGAAGCCAAGGCCAGCCUAGGUGAUUUAGUAAUACAUAAAAAUAAUUUUUAUUGAUAAAACAAUAAGUAAAUAAGCCCGCAAAUAAAAAGUAAAUGGCAUUAGAGAUAUAGCUUGGGGGUUUGUUCAGUCACCACCACUUGAGGACACAACAAACAGGACUGGGGAACUGGAAGUCGAACCCCACAGGCAGACAGAACAGUUCAACGAUGAGUCCUUAAGCAAGACUUUAGCUUCAACUAUUCGUCCAGUAAGUAUUAAGCCCCUGAAAUAUGUUGUUGCAAAGAAACAUGGGGAAACAUGCUAGAGAAGACUCUUCCCAUAAUUAUGGAAAAUAAAGGCUUCACUUUAAUCUUUUGUGCUAAACUAAUUUGAGCUAUCCAGAAAAAACAAACAAACAAACAAAAAAGAUCAUAGAUGCUAGCAAAACUAUUCUAGAUCUAGUAUGAGUGGAAGACCUUAAGUCAGUGUAUCUACCUAGCUCUAAAAUGGGUCUGUGAUGGUGGGGGCAUUGGUCAGGGAUUCCUUAUUUCUGUAAUUGAGAAAGAAAACCUCCGUCAGUAACUGUGAGUUAUAUUAUCAUUUAUUUUGUCACUAAGUGUACACGGGCCAGUCCAUGGAGCCACUCUUGAGACUCUCUGCACCCUGGGGCUUUCUCUACUACUACUGGAUAGUUUCUUGUAACAAGUUGAGAUCUUCCAGGUAGCAAUCUGUGUGUGAGGCAGCUCAUCAGCAGUUUAGGGUGACAUUAAACGUGGUGUCUGUAGCUGGACAUAGCAGCACACAUUGAUAAAACCAAUUAUAGGGAGAACCAAGCCAUCAGCCUGGACUAGAUGGCCAGUUUCUGUCCAACCUAGACUACAUGGUGAAUUUCUGGCCAACCUGGACUACGUGGUGAGACCAAGUCUUUAAAAAUCUAUGAUUUAAAAACAGAUAAGUAUGUAGGUAGAUAGAUAGCUAGGUGAUAGCUAGAUAGGUAAAUAGAUGACAGAUGAUAGAAAAAUAGAUAGAUAGAUAGAUAGAUAGAUAGAUAGAUAGAUAGAUAGACAGACAGAUAGACAGACUGAUUAGAUAGAUAAAACAUGGGCUUAUUGUACCCACAGCACCACAUAUGAAAUACCCAGGGCUCUAACAACAAAAUUCAAAGCAACCUGCAUGACGAGACCCUGAUUUUGACAAGCUGGGAAUGAUGGGAAG
rnacentral:lncRNA from 1 species